GACCUCCACCACACAAUGCAUUCCAGCUCUGUUAUAAUAAUGAACACUAAUUGUGAUCCCUUUUCUUCACAUAGUACAGCAAACUGACACGUUUCUCCCACCUCCUGGGCACAAAACUGGCCCAUGUUCCCCAGUCUCCAGCUUCCACAGCAGUUAUGUAUGACUUUGUGACCAAGUUCUGGGUAAUAGAAGGUGCGCAGAAGGGAUGUGUAUCACUCUCUGUCCUUACCCAUGAACUCCUCUGGUGCAAUUCUCCACACUCUCUCUUCUAAUUGGAUGCAAAGAUCCAGCAGAAGACCCCACAGAUCUAGGAGAAAGCAAGCCAACAAUGGGAGAAACUCAAGCCUCUGAAUGACAACAUAGAAGGCCACUCACAAUCCACAGGGCUUUUUUUUUUUAACACCUAUUAUGCCAUGAAUUCAUAGAGAAGAGGUUCCAGCAGCUCAGGCUCCUCCCCAUGGGUUCUCACAAAGUGCACUUCUCUGGAUGGAGCAGGCUGGGGCUUCAGUUGAACACAGAAAGAGAAGCUGUCUUCAAGAGGUUACGUGACUAUCAGAGCUCACAUCUCUGACAAGCAGAAAAGCCAAGUUGAAAACCCAAGCUCUAAGUCUGGCCAAUGAUGCUUUGGGA